AGCAGCCGCGGUAAUUCCAGCUCCAAUAGCGUAUAUUAAAGUUGUUGCAGUUAAAAAGCUCGUAGUUGAAUUUCGGGGUUAGUAGGUUGGUCAUGCCUCUGGUAUGUACUGGUCUCACUGAUUCCUCCUUCCUGAUGAGCCGUAAUGCCAUUAAUUUGGUGUUGCGGGGAAUUAGGACUGUUACUUUGAAAAAAUUAGAGUGUUUAAAGCAGGCUCGCGCUUGAAUACAUUAGCAUGGAAUAAUGAAAUAGGACGUUUGAUUCUAUUUUGUUGGUUUCUAGGAUCGACGUAAUGAUUAAUAGGGAUAGUUGGGGGCAUUAGUAUUCAAUUGUCAGAGGUGAAAUUCUUGGAUUUAUUGAAGACUAACUACUGCGAAGGCAUUUGCCAAGGAUGUUUUCAUUAAUCAAGAACGAAAGUUAGGGGAUCGAAGACGAUCAGAUACCGUCGUAGUCUUAACCAUAAACUAUGCCGACUAGGGAUCGGAUGAUGUUAAUUUUAUAAUGACUCAUUCGGCGCCUUA
rnacentral:rRNA from 1 species